rnacentral:rRNA from 1 species
GUUUGAUCCUGGCUCAGAUUGAACGCUGGCGGGAUGCUUUACAUGCAAGUCGAACGGCAGCACGGACGGUCUGGUGGCGAGUGGCGAACGGGUGAGUAAUGUAUCCGGAACGUGCCUAGUAGCGGGGGAUAACUACGCGAAAGCAGCUAAUACCGCAUGCGCCCUUCGAGGAAAAGCGGGGGACCUUCGGGCCUCGCACUAAUGAAACGGCCGAUAUCGGAUUAGCUAGUUGGUGGGGUAACGGCUCACCAAGGCGACGAUCCGUAGCUGGUUUGAGAGGACGACCAGCCACACUGGGACUGAGACACGGCCCAGACUCCUACAGGAGGCAGCAGUGGGGAAUUUUGGACAAUGGGGAAACCCUGAUCCAGCCAUCCCGCGUGUGCGAUGAAGGCCUUCGGGUUGUAAAGCACUUUUGGCAGGAAAGAAACGGCACGGGAUAUUACCCCGUGCAACUGACGGUACCUGCAGAUAGCGCCCGGCUAACACGUCAUGCCAGCAGCCGCGGUAAUACGUAGGGUGCAAGCGUUAAUCGGAAUUACUGGGCGUAAAGCGUGCGCAGGCGGUUCGGAAAGAAAGAUGUGAAAUCCCAGAGCUUAACUUUGGAACUGCAUUUUUAACUACCGAGCUAGAGUGUGUCAGGGAGGUGGAAUUCCGCGAUGGCAGUGAAAUGCGUAGAUAUGCGGAGGAACACCGAUGGCGAAGGCAGCCUCCUGGGAUAACACUGACGCUCAUGCACGAAAGCGUAGGGAGCAAACAGGAUUAGAUACCCUGGUAGUCCACGCCCUAAACGAUGUCAACUAGCUGUUGGGGCCUUCGGGCCUUGAUGGCGCGCAGCCGCGCGUCGAAGUUGACCGCCUGGGGAAGUACGGUCGCAAAGAUUAAAACUCGAAAUUGACGGGGACCCGCACAAGCGGUGGAUGAUGUGGUUAAUUCGAUGCAACGCGAAAAACCUUACCUACCCUUGACAUGUCUGGAAUCCCGAAGAGAUUUGGGGAGUGCUCGCAAGAGAGAACCGGAACACAGGUGCUGCAUGGCUGUCGUCAGCUCGUGUCCAUUGAGAUGUUGGGUUAAGUCCCGCAACGAGCCGCAGCCUUGUCAUUAGUUGCUACGAAGGGCACUCUAAUGAGACUGCCGGUGACAAACCGGAGGAAGGUGGGGAUGACGUCAAGUCCUCAUGGCCCUUAUGGGUAGGGCUUCACACGUCAUACAAUGGUCGGGACAGAGGGUCGCGCCAACCCGCGAGGAGCCAAUCGAAGCGAUCGUAGUCCGGAUCGCAGUCUGCAACUCGGCUGCGUGAAGUCGGAAUCGCUAGUAAUCGCGGAUCAGCAUGUCGCGGUGAAUACGUUCCCGGGUCUUGUACACACCGCCCGUCACACCAUGGGAGUGGGUUUUACCAGAAGUAGUUAGCCUAACCGUAAGGAGGGCGAUUACCACGGUAGGAUUCAUGACUGGGGUGAAGUCGUAACAAGGUAG